ACUAGAGUAGCACUCGCAUAUCAAUAAGCGGAGGAAAAGAAACUAACAAGGAUUCCCCUAGUAACGGCGAGUGAAGCGGGAAGAGCUCAAAUUUGAAAUCUUAAAGGGUUUCCCUUUACGAAUUGUAGUUUAAAGAAGUGUUUUCUGUUGAGGUUUUGGUAAAAGUUCUUUGGAAUAGGACAUCAUAGAGGGUGAGAAUCCCGUAUUUGACCUUUACUUUCAACUUUGUGAUACACUUUCAAAGAGUCGGAUUGUUUGGGAAUGCAGUCCAAAAUGGGUGGUAAAUUUCAUCUAAAGCUAAAUAUUGGCGAGAGACCGAUAGCGAACAAGUACCGUGAGGGAAAGAUGAAAAGAACUUUGAAAAGAGAGUUAAACAGUACGUGAAAUUGUCAAAAGGGAAGCGUUUGACACCAGUGUUGUUUUUCUGAAAAUCAAUUAAAGAACUGUUUAUGCUAAGCUGUUUAGACUUUAUCAGCUAAUCUGUUUAGUUUCGAGCUUUUCUUUAAUGCACUUUUCAGUUAACAAGUCAACAUCAAUUUCUUUUGCUGUAAAAAAGCUUGAGGAAGGUGGCUUGAGAUUCGUCUUAAGUGUUUAUAGCCUCUUGCCUAUGCAGUCGGAGAGAUUGAGGUCUGCAGCGUAGAUCCUUCGGGGCUAAAUGCAUUUGUGCUAAGUUAUAGCAUUUUAUAGACAACUUGUUGACUAUGAUUUGUCUUGUAGCUUACUCGCUUAUGUUAUUUUACCUACGCUUAGGAUGUUGAUCUCUCACAGUCGAGC
rnacentral:rRNA from 1 species